AUUGAACGCUGGCGGCAGGCCUAACACAUGCAAGUCGAACGGUAACAGGAAGAAGCUUGCUUCUUUGCUGACGAGUGGCGGGCGGGUGAGUAAUGUCUGAGCAACUGCCUGCUGGAGGGGGAUAACUACUGGAAACGGUAGCUACUACCGCAUAACUUCGCAAGCCCAAAGAGGGGGACCUUCUGGCCUUUUGCCGUCGGAUGUGCCCCGCGGGGGGUCGUGGGUAGGUGGGGUAACGGCUCACCGGGGCGACGAUCCCUAGGUGAUCUGAGAGGAUGACCAGCGACACUGGAAGUGAGAGACGGCACAGACUCCGACGGGAGGCAGCGGGGGGGAAGAUUGGAAAAUGGGGGGAAGCCUGAUGCAGCCAUGGCGGGUGGAUGAAGAAGGCCUGCGGGUUGUAAAGUACUUUCAGCGGGGAGGAAGGGAGUAAAGUGAAUACCUUUGCUCAUUGACGUUACCCGCAGAAGAAGCACCGGCAAAUUCCGG
rnacentral:rRNA from 1 species